UUCCUACACAUUUUUUUACUUUGUUCUCGCGUGUUCUCAACAAAUAUGAUACUGUUCUAAAAAAAUAUGAUACUGAAUUGCUACAAUAAUACAAUGUUGCUACAAUGAAAAUUAACUAAAUAACUUAGCCGUAAGAAAAAAUCUUAGCAAAUCUGUUUUCUUUGAACAUGCCCAUCUAUUUCUCAUAAGCAACAUUGUCAUCUCCCAAUCUUACAAGUUCCGGAGGAUGCGUGUAAAGGCUAAAGAGUGUAGUGCCGGUGGGUUACUGAUUGCUGUUGCGGUCCUUGGUCUGCUCGUGUUGGAAAUGCUCAGGAAGAAAUCUUACAUGACCUUCACAGACGAACUUCAGACAUACUGCCAAUGAUAACAGCAACCCCAAAUGAAGUUACCUUUGAGGCAUGGCAGCAUAACAAUUUCAUAUGAGCAAACUGUCCACAUUGGCAGUCAAAUUUUUACCUCGUAAAUCGCUAUGCUCUGCCUCUCGCUCUUCUCUGCCUGGUUGUGCGUCGCAUUGCAAAACUUGUUUUCUUGUUGAUCUCUGCAACAUGGUAAGCCCCUGCCUCAUAUAGGACCUGGCCGAAGCUGAACUGUUCAAAUAUAUAGCACGUGCACACAUCUUACUUGCGUGUUACUCGAUAGUUAGGUUGGCAUGACAUCCCUUAUGGCCAUGAACCAAUUCUGAUCUUCAUCAAGACCAAAGUAAAUUAGUGGAUAGUGGUGCAGAGAAUUCAAAGAACAGGACCGCGUGUAUUGGACUCUAAAACACAUUUAUAAAAUACUCACAUUCAAGGUCGGACUUUGCCUGAGCCUUGAUUUCAGACAGCUCGGCCCUGAGGUGCUCCCCCUGCUGCGAAGCAAAGCAUGUCUGUCUGGGUUUACAACCAAAGCACUAGCAUUGCUUGCAGCAGCUCCCUGAGUGUUGUUGCUUCCCACAAGC
rnacentral:lncRNA from 1 species